rnacentral:lncRNA from 1 species
AUAAUAAUAAUAAUAAUAAAAGAAGCACUAACAAAGUUACUAUUUCAUAUACACCUUCAUCACCCUGUCAAAAUCGGACGGGCGAUUAUCGUUCUCCGCGUCGCCUCCAACGCCACUGUCGGCGUCAAGCUUCUCCUUGAUCAUGGCCACAUUGAUGCAGUACAGAUCUCUCCACACCCACCACUUCUUUUCCCUCAUCGACUCUAAAUUCAUCGCACUGCACCUCGCUGUGCCGCCAUAAUCCUCAAAAUUCUAAUAGNACAGAUCUCUCCACACCCACCACUUCUUUUCCCUCAUCGACUCUAAAUUCAUCGCACUGCACCUCGCUGUGCCGCCAUAAUCCUCAAAAUUCUAAAAAAAAAAAAAAAAAUGAAGAUAUCUUAUUUUACUCUUACUUUUAAAGUGAUUUGUUUAUAUAAAACUGAAUUGUAUGAAUAUAUUAAUUAGAAAAUAGGUGAGUAGAAAGACGAAGUAUUAUAUAGAGGUAAGAUGACAAUGCAAGCAUCAGGGUAUGAGAAGGGUAGAGUGAAGAAGAUAUUAUCACGUGACAAACUCUAUAAAAAAU